GACGAACGCUGGCGGCGUGCUUAACACAUGCAAGUCGAGCGGUAAGGCCCUUUCGGGGGUACACGAGCGGCGAACGGGUGAGUAACACGUGGGUGACCUGCCCUCAGCUCUGGGAUAAGCCUGGGAAACCGGGUCUAAUACCGGAUAUGACUCCAUGACGCAUGUUGUGGGGUGGAAAGCCUUGUGCGGCUGAGGAUGGGCCCGCGGCCUAUCAGCUUGUUGGUGGGGUGAUGGCCUACCAAGGCGACGACGGGUAGCCGGCCUGAGAGGGCGACCGGCCACACUGGGACUGAGACACGGCCCAGACUCCUACGGGAGGCAGCAGUGGGGAAUCUUGGACAAUGGGCGCAAGCCUGAUCCAGCGAUGCCGCGUGUGUGAAGAAGGCC
rnacentral:rRNA from 1 species